rnacentral:rRNA from 1 species
UACAGAGGUGGCAAGCGUUGUUCGGAAUUACUGGGCGUAAAGGGCGCGUAGGCGGUCUUUUAAGUCUUGUGUGAAAUCCCUCGGCUCAACUGAGGAACUGCACGGGAUACUGGAAGACUUGAGUUCGGGAGAGGGAAGCGGAAUUCCGGGUGUAGCGGUGAAAUGCGUAGAUAUCCGGAGGAACACCGGUGGCGAAGGCGGCUUCCUGGACCGAUUACUGACGCUGAGGAGCGAAAGCGUGGGGAGCAAACAGG